GACGAACGCUGGCGGCGUGCUUAACACAUGCAAGUCGAACGGUGAACCCGCUUCGGUGGGGGAUCAGUGGCGAACGGGUGAGUAACACGUGGGCAACCUGCCCCCGGCUCUGGGAUAACUCCAAGAAAUUGGGGCUAAUACCGGAUAUGACCGCUGACCGCAUGGUCUGGGGGUGGAAAGAUUCAUCGGCUGGGGAUGGGCCCGCGGCCUAUCAGCUUGUUGGUGGGGUAGUGGCCUACCAAGGCGACGACGGGUAGCCGGCCUGAGAGGGUGACCGGCCACACUGGGACUGAGACACGGCCCAGACUCCUACGGGAGGCAGCAGUGGGGAAUAUUGCGCAAUGGGCGGAAGCCUGACGCAGCGACGCCGCGUGGGGGAUGACGGCCUUCGGGUUGUAAACCUCUUUCAGCAGGGACGAAGCGAAAGUGACGGUACCUGCAGAAGAAGCACCGGCCAACUACGUGCCAGCAGCCGCGGUAACAC
rnacentral:rRNA from 1 species